rnacentral:misc_RNA from 1 species
CAGCAGGUGGAGGAACAAAUUGUGGUACACCCGUCUUCUUUUGAUGACCCAAUUGAUUUCACAUCACCUUCUGUACUUUCUCCAGUUCCCCAAGUAUCUUCUGCCAUUGAGGCCAGAUCUGCCCAUCUAUACACUAUCAGGAGAAACUGGAGGCUUCUAUUUUUCAUGUUCACCCUGUUGAGAGAACCCACAGUCUGAAACCUGGUGCAGGCAGGACCACCCCUUCGCUCCGUUGUCAAGGUCCAGAUGUCCCUGGUGUCCAACAGGGCUUGACUACAGCAGGCACUUAAUAUGUGCUAACUCCGUGCAUCCCCCCUCCUUUUUCCUAAGUGGAUUAUGCAUCUGCUCCUCAGGACUGAUCUUCAACCUGUCAGCUACUCCCCAGCAUCAUCCAAACUGCUCUGAAAACCACCUUUCCAAAAUGCAGAGCCAGCAGUGUCACUGCCCCACUCAAAAUGCUCUCAACAGCUCCCCACUGCCU